rnacentral:rRNA from 1 species
AAGGUUGGCUAAUCCUGGUCGGACAUCAGGAGGUUAGUGCAAUGGCAUAAGCCAGCUUGACUGCGAGCGUGACGGCGCGAGCAGGUGCGAAAGCAGGUCAUAGUGAUCCGGUGGUUCUGAAUGGAAGGGCCAUCGCUCAACGGAUAAAAGGUACUCCGGGGAUAACAGGCUGAUACCGCCCAAGAGUUCAUAUCGACGGCGGUGUUUGGCACCUCGAUGUCGGCUCAUCACAUCCUGGGGCUGAAGUAGGUCCCAAGGGUAUGGCUGUUCGCCAUUUAAAGUGGUACGCGAGCUGGGUUUAGAACGUCGUGAGACAGUUCGGUCCCUAUCUGCCGUGGGCGCUGGAGAACUGAGGGGGGCUGCUCCUAGUACGAGAGGACCGGAGUGGACGCAUCACUGGUGUUCGGGUUGUCAUGCCAAUGGCACUGCCCGGUAGCUAAAUGCGGAAGAGAUAAGUGCUGAAAGCAUCUAAGCACGAAACUUGCCCCGAGAUGAGUUCUCCCUGACCCUUUAAGGGUCCUGAAGGAACGUUGAAGACGACGACGUUGAUAGGCCGGGUGUGUAAGCGCAGCGAUGCGUUGAGCUAACCGGUACUAAUGAACCGUGAGGCUUAACCUUACAACGCCGAAG